ACUAAAUAGAUACCCAGGUAGUCCACGCCGUAAACGAUGAAUGCCCAGCCGUUGGAAAAGUUUACUUUUCAGUGGCGCAGCUAAACGCUUUAAGCAUUCCGCCUGGGGAGUACGGUCGCAAGAUUAAAACUCAAAGGAAUUGACGGGGGCCCGGCACAAGCGGUGGAGCAUGUGGUUUAAUUCGACGCAACGCGCAGAACCUUACCAGCCCUUGACAUCCCGGUCGCGGUUUCCAGAGAUGGAUUCCUUCAGUUCGGCUGGACCGGUGACAGGUGCUGCAUGGCUGUCGUCAGCUCGUGUCGUGAGAUGUUGGGUUAAAGUCCCGCAACGAGCGCAACCCUCGUCCUUAGUUGCCAUCAUUCAGUUGGGCACUCUAAGGAGACUGCCGGUGAUAACGCCGCGAGGAAGUGGGAUGACGUCAAGUCCUCAUGGCCCUUAGGGCUGGCUACGACACGUGCUACAAUGGCGUGACAAUGGGAUGCAAAGGGUGA
rnacentral:rRNA from 1 species